AAGGAGACUUGGCGCGUGGAGCUCGCGUGUAGCCGAGGAUUCGGUGGACGCUUCGAGGAGUUGAGGCGUUGACGCUGGAGAAGUUGCGGCGAGAUCGAUUGGAGGAUUCCUAUCGAUCGAGGACCAGCGAAGAUCACCAUCUACGGGAAAUCGGUAAAUUGAGUUGUGUAUUUUUGUCAAAAUCACUUGUACUCAAGUUUUCUUUGUGGAUUUUCUUCGUGUGAUUGGUCCCGUGGGUUUUUCACUCCGAUUUGGAGUUUUCCCACGUUAAAUUCUCGGUGUGCUGUUUUCUUUUCUGCUAUUUCGUUUUAUUUGCAUCGAGAUUUUUGAGUUUGCCGUUUUUACACCUAUUCACCACCCCCCUCUAG
rnacentral:lncRNA from 1 species